GAUGAACGCUGGCGGCGUGCCUAAUACAUGCAAGUCGAGCGAACAGACGAGGAGCUUGCUCCUCUGACGUUAGCGGCGGACGGGUGAGUAACACGUGGAUCACAUACCUAUAAGUCUGGGAUAACUUCGGGAAACCGGAUCUAAUACCGGAUCAUAUAUGGAACCGCAUGGUUCAAUAGAGAAAGACGGUUUUGCUGUCACUUAUAGAUGGAUCCGCGCCGCAUUAGCUAGUUGGUAAGGUAACGGCUUACCAAGGCAACGAUGCGUAGCCGACCUGAGAGGGUGAUCGGCCACACUGGAACUGAGACACGGUCCAGACUCCUACGGGAGGCAGCAGUAGGGAAUCUUCCGCAAUGGGCGAAAGCCUGACGGAGCAACGCCGCGUGAGUGAUGAAGGUCUUCGGAUCGUAAAACUCUUUUAUUAGGGAAGAACAAAAGUGUAAGUAUCUAUGCACGUCUUGACGGUACCUAAUCAGAAAGCCACGGCUAACUACGUG
rnacentral:rRNA from 1 species